UGAACUUGGUAACAAGCUCUCAAAAUGGUCUACUUUCAAGGGACAGGGCUGAGGUGGGUUGGGGGGAAACUGUCAUUAAUCUGAAACAGAACUUGAGGUUAAAGAAAGAGCUACUGUCCACUGGAAGUGAUGGAUUUAGACAUAGACAAACCGGAGGAUGUCAGGUCACCUCAUUUUCAAGUCAAGUCUGUGAGCAGAGAGAACUGGAGACUUCAAGUUCGAAUCCUAGAAUUUUGGAGCUGGAAAGAACACGGCCGGACUUCCUCGCCGAACAGGAUGCCCAGGCGCGGUUUCAGUGUCAACCAAGGCGAUUGGGAGCUGAAAAAAUAGCUCAAAACAAAACACACAGUACAUCCCAGAGGACGUUUUGAAUGAUCCACCCCCUGGUUCUGCUGCUUCAUUG